UAAGUGGGUGAAAAACCCGGUUUAAACGGAUGAUAGCCGGGUGACGGAUAACCGGGUGACGGAUUCGGGUCGGAUUCGGGUGAUAUUUUUUCAUCCGUCACCCGAUCCAUCACCCGUUUACCACCCGACCCAUCACCCGUUUAAAGUAAAAACAUAUAUUUUUUUUAGUUUUGGGGUCCUUUAGUCCAUUGUCAAAGGUCCACUGUCUAAAGGCCCAAAGACCCAAAAGAGAGCAAUUAAACUUUAACCUAGGCGCAGCUUCCCUCACUGAGUCUCAACUCAAGCAAGUUCUCAGUUCUCAGUUCUCAGUUCUCAACUUCUCACCAUUACCAUAGUGCCGGACUGCCAUAGCUUUACCGGAGGAUUCUUCUCAACUCAAGGAGAUGAAGAUGAAAAUAUAUGAUGAUUAUGCAAGUGGUAGACUUGUAGUGGAGGCCCUUGUUUGCUGCUGCUGCUGCUAUACAUGGAUGUGAUCUUGUCCUGCUGCUGCUGUGAUUAUUGGUGGUGUUUUGCUGAUGCAGUGCUGCUGUGUUGUUGUUCUGCUGUUGUACAUGGCUGUGUUGUUGUACUACUCUGCUGUGUUGUAGCCUACUGUAUUGUUACGUUGCUACUGGUUUUAUAAUCUGACUUUUAUAAUGAAUUAAGAUAUUGCCAUAUGUUGGCUAAACUUUAUUUGACUCCUUAAUUAUUUGAUGUUGUUGAAUGUUGAA